rnacentral:rRNA from 1 species
GUAGUCAUAUGCUUGUCUCAAAGAUUAAGCCAUGCAUGUCUAAGUAUAAGCAAUUUAUACCGUGAAACUGCGAAUGGCUCAUUAAAUCAGUUAUCGUUUAUUUGAUAGUACCUUACUACUUGGAUAACCGUGGUAAUUCUAGAGCUAAUACAUGCUAAAAACCCCGACUUCGGGAGGGGUGUAUUUAUUAGAUAAAAAACCAAUGCCCUUCGGGGCUCUUUGGUGAUUCAUGAUAACUUAACGGAUCGCAUGGCCUCGCGCCGGCGACGGUUCAUUCAAAUUUCUGCCCUAUCAACUUUCGAUGGUAAGGUAUUGGCUUACCAUGGUUUCAACGGGUAACGGGGAAU